GAAAAGGUGAUCUACGAAAAACCGGAUCGGGUUCGGGGGUCAGGUUACUUAUCGAGAAGGUACGGUAAAGACCGUAGCACCCCUCUAAGUCCCUAAAGUCGGAUCUCUACUAAUGAGAUGAAGUUGACAUGGCAAUCAAUGAGAAAAUCAAUGAAUACUCGAAUCAAUCAUGCACAUAUGAGAGUUAGAAAAUGCAUAUAGACUAACCAGAGUGGGAAUGAGUGUGUACCUGAGCAGCGAGCCACUAUGCGCUAUCAAGAAAAUGAGAUUAGUACAAAACAAUGAACACAAGAUAUAGCAUACAUGUCACUAAACUGAAUACAAAAUCAUCAAUAGCACAUGUGUCAUUUCACUCAAUUUUAUUUUGAUGAAAAUUUAUUUGAUGUUGGGCCCCCACCAAAGCCCAAUUCAUUUUUGUAUGAAUUAAUCCCAUGAAUAUCUAUUAUUUAGAAUUACGAGAUUUGAUCCACACUUAUUUCAAAACAUUUUAAAAUCAAGAGAAGUAUGGGAAAGAUGAAAAGGCUUGCCAAAGAGGAAAAUGGCAACCAAAAUUUUAUUAAAAAUGGAACCUUGGAACCUAAAGAGGCUUUCGGGAUGAAAAGCUUGGGUGAUUUGAAAUUAUUUGAAAAUCAGAAAUUAUCAAACUAUUCACAAAGUGAAGUUCAAGAAAUUCAUUUUCAAAAUCAGCGAAGGGGGAAUGAGAGGAGAUGACACGAGGGACUAAGAUUUGCAUGGUGAACAGGGCCAUGCAAAGAAAAUCCCCUUCUUAGCCCACUUGAAAAAUCGGUCAAUUUCUGGAUCUGUGGCUUCUCAGCAACCCUUGACCUGGGCAGGUAUGUCAAGGCCAUGAACGUACCUCUCCCCUAUAUUUUGCCCCAGCAACCAAAGCACCCAUAUCCAAUGCCAUAGGUCUUACUUCAGCGAGAUUACUGGGAACCCCCCCUCUUACAAUUUUCUGAGCUAAUCUUUCAACAACAGCAGUCUUACCCAUACCUGGUUCUUCAAUAAGAACAGGGUCGUUCUUAGUCUCUCUUGGAAGAAUCAUGAUGACCCUCCGAAUCUCUUCGUCUCGGCUAAUGACAGGAUCAAGCUUUCCAGUUUACUCAACCAGGUCACACCCAUAAGUCUUCAAUGCUUGGAAUGCAGUGUUCCCAGAAGCAUUUUCCACCUUCUUACCUUCUUUCCUUCGAAACUUCUGAACCUCAGAUUUCACUUUAGAAGUGCUAACCCCAGCUUCUUUAAGCAGAUCACUGAUUUGGGAAUCCUCAAGAAGGCCAAGAAUCAAUUGAACAACUGCUAAAUGGAUGUCACACGUGACUUUUGUAAAGAUUGGGCUCUUCGAACCACUUUGAUUAGAGUAGUGUUUGCCGGGAUUCCAUCUGGAAGAGGACUCUGAGUUAGGAGUACAGGGGAUGCUAGCAUGAAAUUCAAGAGCUCCAUGAGAGCAGCUUCCUCUGACACGUUAAUUCGUAAUGUAUCAUGCCUCUGCUCUGACUCUUUCAUCUCAAUGGUGUCGCCACCUUCUCACGUUCUUCUUCUAUAUAUUGCUGUGCUUUAACUAGCUGCCCAUCAGCCAAAAUGAUUUCAUAAGCCUCAACAGUGUCAGAGAAUAGGUCAUAACUGUGAGAGCUUCCUUCAAUUCCAUAGUCAUUGAUGAGGCCACCAAUAAGAACAUCAAGCUCAGCAACCGCAACAAAGGCAAGAUUCAUUGGGACACUAACUCUGCUAAUCUGCCCCGUGUUGACUAGGGGUUCACAUCUGGCAAUCAUCCUCUCUUUGUCAAUGUCCAGGAUAUUUCUGAAAGCUGAAAGAUCAACUUCAAAAUGCCGAGCCCGCUUAUAGUCAACAUUUCUCAUUCCAACUGCAACCCAUGGUUUCCAGGUUGUGUAGACAAGGCCAUCCCUUGAUGGGUUCCUCUCUUGGAGACGUUUGCAAAGGCUUUUCAACAGAACAAUUAAUUCAGCAGCAGCAGCCAUAGGAUCCGAGCGCAUGGACAUUGGGACCAUUCCAGCAUGACCUUGUGAACCUCUCACUCUUACCUUUAGCCGUGUCUAUCCUGCUAUGCCUUUCACCACAGCUAGAGGAAGAUCGAUCCCUUCUAGUACACGUCCUCGUUCAAUGUAAACCUCAUUCUAACCCCAAACAAAUUUUGGGUCAUACUUCAAUUGAGACAAUGCUUCCUCUAGCUUCUAUGGUGUUAUCCAUAAGAGCAUUUUGCAUUCUUAUCAGAUAUCUGCAAGGCUGAAGCUGGUAAAACUCCAGCUACGGCUGCACCUCCUGAAAAGGUGGACUGAAACCUAACUCUCUCCUCAUCACCAAAUGCAAUCACCUCAAUUGGGAGUCUCAACUUCUAUAACUUGGCAGUGAUAGUCAAAACCUGGAUUCAUUCUUUCAACUAAACCGUAUACAUGACCCAUAACCCUGUGGCACUCCAAGAACAGCCUUCAAGAUCGCUUGCUUGACGAGAACCUUCAUGUCACGGACCAUGAAGCUGUAGGUUAGAGGCUGUUGAACCACCAUUUCUCAUUUCUCAUGCCUUUUAUCUCUUCCUUUUGUUAUUUUAUCUUUUCUGCCACUACAGAGGCUGGGUAGAUUCGGGACCUUAGAGGAGGCUAAAAAAAACCUAGGCAGCCAUGCGUGCAUAGAUAACGCAGACGCGGGUGAGAUGGCAAGAGGAUUGAUGAGAAAUGAAUACUAAAAUAGUGAGAGGAAGGGUUUUUGGUGAUGAAUGAAAUUGAAGUUGCUUGGUAUGAAGAGCAGUUGGUGGUGAGCUUUGUGGGUAUGUCAGAUGGUCUUAGCUAAUGAAGACAAACAUGGUAUGGGUAUGGUGAUAAUAUAGAGAGAGAAGUGGGUAUGUGAGUAAUGGAAGUGUAUGAGGGGUAUAGAAGAUGGGUGACAUGGGUAUGCAAAUGAGAAUGGGUGGUAAGAAAAAAUGGGUAAGCUGAUAGGCAUGAUGAAGUGAAGACAUUGGAGAUGGUGGACAAAAGAGAAACGAAACGGGGGCAUGGAUGUGGCCCCUUGAUUAGGUAUGAUCUCUUGGCACUCUCCCAUCAUUUUAUGUACUUCAAUUGUUUCACUUGCAGUGUCUCUGACUUAACACCAGAACCAUUCCCACCAAGCACUUUAGUUUGAUCAUCUUCAACUGCUGUCGUUGACCUUUGAACAGAAGAUUCAGCAUCAACAGACAAAAGCUUUGGCUCUUUUGUUGGCGAACUAAUACCAGUGGCAUCCCCAACGAGAAAUCCGGUACAAUCAUCCUUAACAGCAACUGAACACUAAACACAAUAUUCAGCAUCUCCAGAUGAAAGCAUGAGCUCUUUCAUUGAUGAACUAAUACCAGAAGCUUCUCCACCAAGCAUUUGAGUAUGGUCCUCUUCAACAGUGGUCGAACAAUUGAGCAGAAGAUUCAAAAUCUCCAGUCUUCUGCAUUGACAGGUUUUCUGCAUUGUGUUAAUUUCUCACCAUCAAGAUUUUGACUCAGCAACUCCACAGACUGCACCCAAACAUUGCACUUUUACCUCAUCAUGCUUACUGAUACCAAGUUCUUGAGAACCUUUAUCCUGGUUUUAAAGGCAAGAAUGUGUUUUUGUUACAUCGAUUUCAACUCUACUUGGAUCUGAAACUUCAUACAAAUCCUUGUUUUCAGUUUCAGGUAAGUUCCUCACGGGCACAUUCAUAUCAUCCUCUGCAGCAACCUGGGAUUCAGAUGGACUGCCUGCAAAUUCAGGGACACACAUCAUAAUAUUUUCCUUUUCUGUUAUCUCACAUUUUGUUAUUUCAACCUUGUCAUUGUCUCCUCAAGAGCUUCAGAACAGAGCUCCAUCCCAAGCUCAUGUAGGUCAAUGUGAACAUCUGGGUCAAUACCAACAUGGGUUCUGAACAGUUGAGUAAACCCAAAGAGUCAAUCAUCCAUCUCCACUUCCUUGGACUCAAGGUCAUCCGAAGCUCCAGCUUUCUCUUUUGGAGCUUCCUUCUCUGUCUUUUCAAUCUCUGUACCUGCAGUGUCCAGCACUGAAUCACCUAGUGAAAAGUGAGACCCAUUAUCUUCUCCCUCAAGCCCCUCACUCUCAGGAGGCCUCUUCUUCUCUGUUAACACUCUCAGCUGAACAUCUAAACCUUGUUCUCGAAGUGACAGUAUCUCAUAUCGGAUGGGUAGGCAACAACUUCACCCUUGUUGAGGCUCGAAUAUGUAUCCCGAAUCAUCAACAGCUGAAAUAUGGCAUUAAUGCCCUGAUAUGGCCGUCACCAAUCUUUUUGAACAAAAUAACCCAGCAAUCUCACGAACAAACGAAACAACUGCUACCCAAACUCAAGAACUGUGCCCAUGCAGAAAUCAAGGCAAUGCUGGCCAAAAAACUCUCCUCCUUGGAGGGUUAUGAAUGGCCAUCGAGAACAGAGCAUGAACAGCAAGGAUGCAAGCACAAAAAGACAGAGUAUCAACUGAACCAGAGAAAACACUGACCCGAGCUCUAUUUCAUAUUGAAGUCAAUAGGCUCAUGUAUAGGUGGGAAAAUCAGUGGAAAUAGGACCCAAAAACAUGACUCAGACACCCAAUGGAGAGAUAAAAAGGAAUCAGAUCACUCUUAAAUCAGUUUUUCAUGAAGAACAAGGCACAAAUUAUUUAUAACACAAUCACAACAAUAUCAAGGAAAUCUACUACAACAAGUAUAUGGUCUAGAAAACGCACCUGAAAGGCUUCCCUCCAGCUGAAAUGAGCCAGGAGACUGCUAUGUUUCUCCUUUCUUCACAAUUUGCUGCCCCUCCUCCAGCUCCAGAAAAAUUCCCCUGAAGCUCCCUGGGAUCCUCUCUAUCUCUCCACUAUGGCAGCCCAAAAGCCUCUUACCUAACUUGCUCUCCCUUUGUCUUGACCUCCUGUGAAAGCUCUCCCCUCUCUCCGGUUCCCUCUUGCUCAAGUGUCCUGCUCCAAACUGAACCUCCCUCAGAAAAAAAACCAGUCUCCCCCUCUCUCCAGUGCCCUCUGAAAAAGCCUCUCCCUUUCUCAUACGCUCCUCCUUCUCUCUAGCUACCAGCCUUUUUUUUUCUCCCCUUUUCCCAAAAUAACCAAACAAAAGCUCCCCCCCUCGGUAAAGCUCCCUGCCACCUUCCUCUUCUAGGCCCAUAUCUAUUUUCUCUCCCGGAUUUGCCCCUCCAACCAUCUCUGCAGCAACAGCCACCAGCACCACUACACUCUCCAUGCAGCUGGCAACACCCCUAACGGAAAGCACGCUUCCUUCUUCUAGAAUGCUCCUCACUUUCCAGGUGUCUUCCUCUGAUUAGUCCAUCAAUUCCACCAUAGUGAUUCCACUAGUAGCCAACCCGAGAGUGACACGUGGCCAUGCGAGAUGGUGACACUUGUCUAGCAUCAGCUGCAAGAAUGACUCCCAAAAUGGGGGUCACAAAUAUGCCCCUCUUCGGUAGAGUUCACGAGUGUAAGGAUCAUGAACACUGGAGUGAAAAGUAAGUGUGAAUAGUGAGUGGAAUGGAGUGAACUCUACCGAAGAAUCAAGGAGACCCCCAUAGGGACACUGGGUGGAAUAGUUGUUCACAUUGGGAGCAUGUCCCAAUGUGAACAACCGCCAAUGAAAGGGUUAUGCCCCAGUAUAGGGCAAACCCUGAAAUGACUAAACUCCGUUGUAUGCUCUCAUAAGUGUCCGUGUCCUGAUCCAAUCAUCUCAAAAAUAUGUCAACAAUGAUGAGAAGGCUAUGCUCCUGUGAUCAUGUCAAAGAUAUCAACCAAUCAUGUCCCGUACUCCAAUGUGAAAUGAAUCCAAUCAUCUCCAAGGAACAGCUAUGCCUAAGAACCAUCAUGGACCGAAAGGGGUAUGCCCUUGUGUAAAGUACACUAAAUGAAACGUGCCAAUCAUGUCUCAUGCUCCAAUGUGAAGAAAAAUGACAUCUGAUAUCCUCCGGGGAAUGGACAUGGCUCAAAAAUCCGUCAUCGACUGAGAAGAGUAUGCCUCAACAUCAUGGUCAUCCGAUAAUAAAACUCUCUAAGAUGGCUAUGCCCCAGUGUAGGGUCAUACCAUAACCCCUGGUCCAUCACAAACAGAAUGCUCCCGAAUCAAUCCCAAGUAUCGCUCACAUAAGAGCUAUCAAACACAACGUGUGAUGUCAUGGCCUCAGGGUGGUCUUAAGACUCAAGACGUAAUGAAGGCUAGGGUGAUAAGAUGAUAGAAAUGAAGGGAAACUAGGCCCAAAUACCCAAUGAUCAAAACCCAUGCCCUCAUGUAUAAAAUGCAACAUAUAUAGAAAAUAUCGUGAGCCAUGGACCUGAAGAUGCCUACUGUGAACAUGGUAACAAUGAUGAUGCAAUGAAGAAAAAAAAAAUGAACUGAUGACGAGAUGCGUAAUGAUGGUGCGAAGAGGGUACCAAACCCGAAAAUGAGGUCACUGAAAGAACAAAAUAAGAGGUGAAAUGAAAAUGAUGAAUCAGAAGUGAAAACGAGGAUGAUGGUGAAGCACCGAAUAUGAGAAUGAGUGAUGAUCCGCUCAAAUCAAAUAUGAAAGGAGGUCACAUCAAUAACGAACACAAUGAUGGAAUGGACAAUGACCCAGAGCUCCUAAGAGAAGGCCACUCAUCUCGCUCUCAAAACAUACAACAAAAUGAAUACAAAGAAUGAAAGGUCCCGAGGAGCUCACAUACGAACUCCCAUGAAUAGACAUAUCCAACAAAGCGACCCCUCGAACACUAAUAUACACAUACUCAAUGAUAGAGAAUAAUACACACAUGAACUUUUUUUUUUAUUUUUUAUUUUUUUAUUUUUUUAUUUUUUUAUUUUUUAUUUUUUUUUUUACAUAUAUACAAAUAUACAUGCUCUGAACGCAAACCAAGAAAGAUCUAAAGACGAAGUAAAAAUGGAUAAACAUACUCUCAAAUGCCAAUGUAGCAUAAACUCUCUCUAAUGAUGUGACCCUCUCAAGCCAAGGAUCCCUGGAUCAACGUCCGUAUGAUAGAUAAUGGAAAUGACGUGACUACCCUCCAUCUAAUGAACCGAGGGGGAUCACCACUCGGGGUGGGAGAAGAUGAAGCGGAACAAACGAUAGAUAUAAUAAAGAAGAGGAUGAAGAACCAACGAGAUGUGAUGAAAUGCAAUGACGCAAUGAUAGGAAAAGAUAAUGAGAAAGAUGUGCCCCUCGGUCCAAGGCUCGUGAAACUCCUAAACAAUGCAUGCAUACACUGAAGGGCCCCUAUCCCGGUGUAGAAGGUGAGCAAGGCUAUAAGAAAUAAAAGGCUAUGAUGCUCAUGUGAGGCUCAAAGGGCUAGCAAUGGACUACGUCAAUAAAGGUAAUAGGGUGUGAGCUAACCGAAAUGAAGGCCACCCAUCCUGCGACCACGGUCUCAUACAUCGUGCUCUCAAGCCCUCAAAUGAUCAAUGCUAAAGAUCGAUAUCCAUCUGAUAUAACCACGUCAACCCUCUAGAAUCAUGCACCAACCGUACUCCAAAUGCUCUAUGAUAAUCUCAAAGAUGAUCAUCUCAAAGCAAAGUGAACGGUGAUCUCAUCAAGCAAGACUGCCUAUCACAAGCCAACCCUCAUCAUACAAGAUCAAUCUCUAUACUCAUGGCAAAAUAAGUGAUAGUCUCAUCAAGCAAUCGAUCAAUCCUCAUAUCAUAAAUCAUCCAAAGAUCAUGAGCUAAUCCUCGCCAUGCGAGAUCAAACCCUGGGCUCAAACUCCUCACACUCUACCUGGUCGGAUCAGAGAAGGGAUGUGUAAAGCUAGAAAAAAUGAGGAUGGAAAGGUCAUAUAAUGGUCUCAAGGGUGAUACUGUGCAAAGCUCAUAAUGGAUGGAUGUAGGUCAAAGCAAAGCAAGGUGUGGGAAGUGAGCAAGGUACGACUCUGAUCAUAAGAAGAUGUGUCACAGUCUCAAACUCCCUAGGUCAAAUCUCUGAUCCUAAGCUAAUAGGCUCAAUAUCCUCCAUGAUAAGGUCAAGCCUUAAGACCACAAUGUGCAAAUGAAAAGACGCCUCGAGUCAAAAGUAUAACACAUCAUAAAACGCAAGCAUAUGUCCAUAAAGGAAAAGACAUCCAAUGGGAUAACCCGACGAGUACAUCAUGCAAAAGAAGGAUAACAAAGACAAUACUCAAGAAUCGAGUUAUAGUCUCUAAAAGUCAAAAGCAAAACAAGACUAAACAAACAAAAACAAAAACAGUGACUGAUCCUGUCAUCACAUCUCUGGCCACAGAAGGAACAAAAUCUGAGCGCCACCGUACCAAAGUAAGCCAAUCAUGAGUCAAUCACCCAAGUCAAUAAGAUCAGGGACUGUUGGUGAAGGGGCGUCUGCAUGCAUGGCCUGAGCUGAGGUAGGAAUAGGAAACAUAUCGGACUGAGGAUGCCCAAACGUCCCAUAAUCAAUAAUGUCCUGUAUGGCAUGUCGUAGAGCAGUGCAACGAUCAGUGUGAUGUCCUACUGACUGAUGGUACAUACAAUAUAAAUCAAGUCGAAACUAUGGAGGCACAGGAUCUGGAAGUGCCCUAGGAACUAGAGGAGCCAAAAGUCCCAUGGCCUGGAACGUCUCAAAAACUCUGCUCAGGGGUGUGCUCAAAUCUGAAAAACGUCUCUAACAUCGUCGACGAGGGUGAAGUCGCUCAUGAGGAACUGUAAUAACUGGAGGGCCCUGAAGCCGGGAUGGAGGUCGUGUCGGCGUAGCCAAUGAAAUGGAUGAGGAAUGCUGCUGGAACACUGAAUGUGGGCGAGGCUGUGGAUGUGAGGCACCCAAAGUAGCAAACAUCGAUGGAGUCAAAUGUGGCAAUGAAGGCAUCGCUACUCCUGGAGCUCCUCUCGAUGACGAUGAAUGCUUUGACAAAAUAAGCUCAAUCCUCUCAAUCCUCCUCGUCAAAUCCGUCAUCAUCUCAUAAAGAGUAGUAAGAGUAAUGGGUGUGAUCUCGUCCGACAUGGUGAACCUCAACUGAAGAAGUCUAAUCUCAAUGUACUCUAAAAAUAUCAUAACCAUCAUGCCAUCAAUCUCUGCCCGGGGACCAGUCAUGAUACUAAAACUGUCCAAUACUUUAAAACAAACACAUGCAAGAGACAAAACAAAACAACACACGAUGCUACUCAGGAUAACAACACAUAAAAUGUAUGAUACGAAACAAUGAUAAUAAUAAAAAGAAGAUAAAAACACAUACCCAAGAAAACAACAAUAUCACUAAGUGAAAUGAGAGUACAUCAUGCAAAAUAAUAGGACAACAAAGGUCUACUCUCGAAGCACAAGGUGUGAACUCAAAACACUAACUAUAAAACAAGACUCAAAUACAAAAUAAAAGAGAACAAAAACUCGAACGACCAACUAACAAUGUAGUCCCAAAACACACCAACAAGGUAUGCAAUAUCAAAGUGUCUGGUGAAUAUCAGUGCCCUGGGUGUCUCAAACUGUGAUGGUAUAAGCCCGAAGGAGGAGGAACCACAUGCGUGGAAUAAACUGAAAAGGAAUCAACAGUCAUAUCUGGACCAAGAUCAGUGUCUGUAGUCGAUAUAGGAAAGCUAACCGCACCACUGUCAAUAAGAUCCUAUAUGGCAUGACGUAGAGAAGCACAAUAAUCAGUACGGUGGCCUGCCAUCUGGUGAUAUGCACAGAACUCAUGAGCACGAAAACGCGAAGGUAAGAUACUCGGGGGUGGCCUGGGGGCCAAUGGUACUAAAAAACCAGUAGAUCUGAGUCGCUCAAAAGCUCUAUCCAAAGGCAUCCCCUAAUCAGAAUAAGUCCUCUAACGUCGCCGAUGGGGACGAGACUACUCAUGUCGUGGGAUACUAGUCUGUGGACGCUGAAAAUGAAAUGAAGGUCGCACCGUGACAGUAUAAGGAUGCACAGAAGGGUACUGCUGAAUUGAAUGAGGAUGAUGAUGCUGUAAAGGCGGGAAAUCACUCCUGGGUAUCUGCAAUGAUCUCGCAUAGGGAUGAUAACCAGGUCGUCGAUACUGAAAGUCCGCAGAACAUACACUUCCAUAGCUCUCAUAUGAUCCACCAACUCUCUUCCCCUCAGUAUCUGGGGAAGGAGUAAUAUCUGACCAUAAUCCUCUAGAUAUGCCAUCGUCUACGUCGGACAAAGCCUGAACCAAUGAUCUGAAAUCCUAGAAUGGGACUCCUGUUAGAUGCCGAGCAAACCUAGGAUGCAAACUCCUCAAAAACAUGCUCAUCUGAUCCCUCUCGGUAGGUCGCUCAAUCAUCUCUACGGCCUUCUCCCUCCAGCGGGAGAUAAAAGAAGAAACAGACUCAUCUGAUCCCUGUCUAAGCAACUCAAGCUCUCUACGUGUAGCACUCAUAUCACCACUGAAGGAAUACUAUCUCAGAAACUCCUGUGCUAAGUCCUCCCAACUCCUCCGAUGAGAAGACUCUAAUGAAGCGUACCAUCUCUGUGUCGUGCCGCUCAAUGAUAAUGGGAACAAAGCGAGCAACUGUGCCUCAUCCAGACCAAGAGCCCUCAUAACUGUGCUAUAAAGUCUGAGAUGAAUACGAGGACAUCCAACACCCGUAUAUCUCUCUAUAUUAGGCAUCCUGAAACUGACUGGCAAAGUGGCCACUGACACGUCGUCAGGGUCAUCCCAUGAAAUCAUCUCAUCAGGAUCUCUCAUCUGUCCAAUCCUCCGCUCGAGUCUGUCCAUACGAGAACGAGGAUCCUCAAUAACGGUAACUGGUGUGACAAUAGGUGGAACAACAGCAGCCCGAUCACGUGAAAUAGUAUGCAAAGUCUAUGUAGCUGGCAUCUGAACGGGUAUAACAGGUGGUGUCACUAAAUUAGAUGGCAUGUCCUCGAGCACUACAUGCCUACUCUGCUGAGUGUCCAUCCUCUAACUCAAAACUGGUCAGCGCCCCCUGAAUCGAAACCACAGAAGCAAUAAGCUAACCAAUCGAAACUGACUGUGAAUCCGUCUAUAGCAGCUCAACAAUACGAAGCAACCUCCCACUCAACCCAGGGCACUGAACCAAGACUGGGACUACAAAUAGACUCCUACAAAAGAAUCGAACAAAACGACUCAAACACGACUCAUGCAACGACACGAGAUGUAACGAACAAUGACCAAUGCAUGAUACAACACAACUCAACACAUGACAGGGUGCGACACACAAUCAUAUGGUGACAAUCAAAAUUUGGAUAGACGAUAGAAUCUCUAGAGUCACAUGAGUGUCCAGUGUGAGACAACUACAAAUAUGACUAAAGAAUUUCUAUCGAUGAUCCAAAAAAUGAUCAAGAUGUGAAGAAAGUGAAUGAGGUGUGAAGAACAGUAUCAUGAGAUCGAUACUCAAUAUAGACCAAAAUAUCCUUGAUUCAACUUUCAACUCGAGCUCCAUAAGAAAAAAAUGAUAAGGUGAUCAAGGCGAAUCUCCCGAAAAAUGUGUGAAUAUGAAAAUGUGUCUUUCACCUUUCUGUAAUGAAAAUAUGAGCAUCGAGUUGAAAAUCGAACCAAGGAUCAAACAAAUGAUGAGGUACUGAGCCCGUGAUAGGUGUACAGUAUAAAAAGAUGAUCAAUGAACAUAUCCCAAAAUAUCGAGUGAGUGACAACAAAGUGAAGGGGUGUGUCGAGCUAAGAAAUGAGAACGAAAUCCCUAGGGAGUCAACAUGCCAAACUCAUCGAGUAAAAAAACAUAAUCUAGAGCGACAAGACGAAAGGUGAUCCAACUGAUACUCAAACCCAAACCGAUCUCCGAGCACUCUCAACUGGAGACUAAAAAGAGGGAAUACUAGAUCCGAACUGUAACCACAGAGGCUCUGAAAGCCCUCAGAUGCACCCACGUGUAGGGAGGGAGUCCUAAUCGAAGGAUCUACGGCUCAACCUACAAGGUCAAGGUGGCUCUAAAUGGAUAUGGGUGGAUUUUAAAGAUCCCUAGCAGAAGCGAUCAUACCCUCCGACAGUACGCAACCUUCUGCACGCCUCCGAAGAGACGGGGCGCUUCCAUGCAAGGUGGUCAUCACCUCCACACAUGCACUACCUCGACAUCCCAGGGGGUUUUCUAUGGUAAAACCUCUUAAACUCUCAACGCUCAAUGGUCGACUAGAGUGCACAGUGAAUGGUGUGGGUGCAUCCGAAAACCCUAAGAAGCUAAAACAUGAGAGAAAACACACUGGUCACACGAAUAUCCAUGAAACCUAGCUCCGGGCUAUACAGGUCUUCAAUGAUCGGACUCCUCCCGACAUCAGUGUCGCUCUCCUCUAGAAUGCUCCCGAACAUCGGUAUAGCCCGUCGCUAGACCCUACUCCUAAACUCUGGCUCGGUCAGAGAACAAGCACAUAGAAGGUCUCACACUUGCAAUAGUGAGAACCGAGAUGAAAGGAAUGACCGACACCAAGAGAGUUGGAGGUAGGGGGAUAGAAGUGAGACCCACAUAGACAGGCAACAUGCAAUCAUACAGAGGGAGGGCAGUCAUGCAUCAUACAGUCAAGCAGAGUACAGGAUAUAUCACUCAUGUCCACACAAAAAGCUACAACUAUCAGGAUGAAUAGCGAUAUGAACAUCAUGCUCAAAAGACGAUCAAGAUAAUAUGCAAGCCAGAUAAACAAUACAGCAAGCUGAGUGAUGUACAGUGGUGAGUGUAUGCAUGUGAAGUGAUAAGAAUAAUCAUGGCAAAAUCAGGAUCAAUGCGCUAAGCAAUACGAAAUGAUCAAUCAAUAUAAUCAGCUUGUGAAAAUCUCAAAUGAAUAUAUCAAUGAAGCACAGAGAAAAUAGCUAUCUCGGAAUCCUCUAUCACUACGAAUCAAUCAUCAUAAUCAGCAUGUCAAAUAUCUCAAACAAAUAUAUCAAUGAAGCACAAAGAAAAUCACUGUAUCAAAAUCCCCAAUCAAGAUAAUCGACUAAUACGAUCAAUCAUAUCAAUGUCCCAAGUGAAAACUCGGGAACCCUCAAUGUGCAAUCAAGAAGUGAGUAUCCACUAAUCGACUCAUCAAAAGCCACAUUUGCUUCAUCCUAAGUUCAAGCUUGACCCUCUAAUGAUCCCCAGUGGAGUCGCCAUUUUGAAAAAUUGGGACAUUGUGGACCCCGCAUUUCGGCUCAAUGCGUUUCUCACUCGAAUGGCGAGCUCGAAUUUUUAUUUGAAAAAUUAUGAUUUUUAUUUAUUAAGAAAAUGACUUGGAGUCGCCACUUAUUUUUGUUUUAUUUUUAAAGGGUAAACAAAAUAAGAAAGAAAAACCCUAAGUAUGACUCCUUAUUUUGGAAAAGGUGGUCUGUGAAAAAUCGGAUCGGGUUCGGGAGUCAGGUUACUUAUUGGGAAGGUACGGUAAAGACCGUAGCACCCCUCUAAGUCCCUAAAGUCGGGUCUCUACUAAUAAAAUGAAGCCGACGUGGCAAUGAUGAGGAAAUCAAUGAAUACUCAGCAUGAUCGCACAUAUGAGAAUCAGUACAUGCAUAGAGAAUUACAAGAAUGGGAGUGGACACGUACCUAGGUGACGAGCCGCCAUGCG
rnacentral:lncRNA from 1 species